rfam:Myotis brandtii contig295143, whole genome shotgun sequence.
GGCGGUUCUUGGGUGACGCCCCUCAGAAUCAGGCUCCCUCCUCUGAUUCCCGGUGGGUCACCCAAGAAUCGCA